GAUAACAUGGGCUUCAUGUGACUUUGUCAAUGUUGAAGGAACUGUACUCAAACCACUUGCCAUUGCCAUUGCAGAGAGGUCAUGCAUGCCUUUGCAUAUCAUCAUCUUAACAGUUCUGCGGUUCAAAUUGUCAGUCUCUAAAAGUUGUGCAGCCAAGGAUAUUGACAGAAAUAGGCCAACCACCUGAAUCCACUGGGUCACACUAAUCAUUAUCAUGCCAAGAGAAAUGUAGCUCACUACUACCCACUACCCUUGGUGGUGGAACGAGGCUAUCCGUGAAUCAGGGUUUUCACUUUACAACCCCCCUCCAUCAAGCUGUAAAGGCAGAAAUGAUAGAAGAAAAUGACAGUUACAGUUGAAAUAAUAGAUCAAACCACCAGAUCAACUAAGCAAAAAUAGAGAUAGAUAAUUACGUCACAUUUUUGUGGAAAUUAUUUGAAAUUUCCAAAUCAUUAUAUAUAUAUAUAUAUAUAUAUAUAUAUACACAC
rnacentral:lncRNA from 1 species